rnacentral:rRNA from 1 species
AGUGAACGCUGGCGGUAGGCCUAACACAUGCAAGUCGAACGGCAGCACAGUAAGAGCUUGCUCUUACGGGUGGCGAGUGGCGGACGGGUGAGGAAUACAUCGGAAUCUACUUUUUCGGGGGGGAUAACGUAGGGAAACUUACGCUAAUACCGCAUACGACGUACGGGUGAAAGCAGGGGUUCUUCGGACCUUGCGCGAUUGAAUGAGCUGAUGUCGGAUUAGCUAGUUGGCGGGGUAAAGGCCCACCAAGGCGACGAUCCGUAGCUGGUCUGAGAGGAUGAUCAGCCACACUGGAACUGAGACACGGUCCAGACUCCUACGGGAGGCAGCAGUAGGGAAUAUUGGACAAUGGGCGCAAGCCUGAUCCAGCCAUACCGCGUGAGUGAAGAAGGCCUUCGGGUUGUAAAGCCCUUUUGUUGGGAGAGAAAAGCAGCAGGUUAAUACCCCGCUGUUCUGACGGUACCCAAAGAAUAAGCACCGGCUAACUUCGUG